UACGGAGGGUGCAAGCGUUAUCCGGAUUCACUGGGUUUAAAGGGUGCGUAGGUGGGCAGGUAAGUCAGUGGUGAAAUCUCCGAGCUUAACUCGGAACUGCCGUUGAUACUAUUUGUCUUGAAUAUUGUGGAGGUAAGCGGAAUAUGUCAUGUAGCGGUGAAAUGCUUAGAUAUGACAUAGAACACCAAUUGCGAAGGCAGCUUACUACACAACGAUUGACGCUGAGGCACGAAAGCGUGGGGGAUCAAACAGG
rnacentral:rRNA from 1 species